UACGGGGGGAGCAAGCGUUGUUCGGAAUCACUGGGCGUAAAGGGCGUGUAGGCGGUCUGUUAAGUCUGGUGUGAAAUCCCCCCGCUCAACGGGGGAACGGCGCCGGAUACUGGCAGACUUGAGUACCGGAGAGGAAGGUGGAAUUCCCGGUGUAGCGGUGAAAUGCUUAGAUAUGACACAGAACACCGAUUGCGAAGGCAGCUAACUAAGCCAUAACUGACGCUGAUGCACGAAAGCGUGGGGAGCAAACAGG
rnacentral:rRNA from 1 species